UACGAAGGGGGGCUAGCGUUGCUCGGAAUCACUGGGCGUAAAGCGCACGUAGGCGGAUGUGUCAGUCAGGGGGUGAAAUCCCGGAGCUCAACUUCGGAACUGCCCUUGAUACAGCACGUCUUGAGUCCGGAAGAGGUGGGUGGAAUUCCUAGUGUAGAGGUGAAAUUCGUAGAUAUUAGGAAGAACACGGUGGCGAAGGCGGCCCACUGGUCCGGUACUGACGCUGAGGUGCGAAAGCGUGGGGAGCAAACAGG
rnacentral:rRNA from 1 species